UACGGAGGAUGCGAGCGUUAUCCGGAUUUAUUGGGUUUAAAGGGUGCGUAGGCGGAUCGUUAAGUCAGUGGUCAAAUUGAGGGGCUCAACCCCUUCCCGCCAUUGAAACUGGCGAUCUUGAGUGGAAGAGAAGUAUGCGGAAUGCGUGGUGUAGCGGUGAAAUGCAUAGAUAUCACGCAGAACCCCGAUUGCGAAGGCAGCAUGCCGGCUUCCUACUGACGCUGAAACACGAAAGCGUGGGGAUCGAACAGG
rnacentral:rRNA from 1 species